UACGUAGGGUGCGAGCGUUAAUCGGAAUUACUGGGCGUAAAGCGUGCGCAGGCGGUUCGUUGUGUCGGCGGUGAAAGCCCCGGGCUCAACCUGGGAAUGGCCGUUGAAACUGGCGAACUGGAGUGUGGCAGAGGGGGGUGGAAUUCCGCGUGUAGCAGUGAAAUGCGUAGAGAUGCGGAGGAACACCGGUGGCGAAGGCGGAUCUCUGGGCCGAUACUGACGCUGAGGAGCGAAAGCGUGGGGAGCGAACAGG
rnacentral:rRNA from 1 species